UCAGAAAAUAGUCUUUAUUCAGAGCUCAAUUUAAAGGCCUGUAUACAAGUGCAUCUAACACGGGAAAUAAGAGGAGCUAGAGAUGUGUGCUAUGACCUUAUUGGCAUCACAAACACGUAGUGGGAUGGCUCUUGUGACUGGACCAUUGCAAUGGAAUGAUACAGGCUCUUUAGGAAGGUCUGGCAGGGGAAACAAGGAGGGGAUGCCAUGCUCUAUGUCAGUUGGAAUUCAUGGAGCUCUGACUGCCCUUGUACAGAUGAGAAGUUGAUCAAGAGACACCAAGCUCUGUGAUUCAGCGCACAUGCUGGAGGGAAGGAAUGACAUCCAGAGCGGCCUUGACAGACUGGAGAGCUGGGCCCAUGUGAAUCUCAUGAAGCUGAACAAGGCCAAGCGUGCAAGGUCCUGCAUUCAAGCUGGGUCAAUCCCAAGUACAAAUACAGGCUGGGCAAAAAACGGAUCAAGACUAGCCGGGGAAAGAAGGACUUGGUGGUGGUGGCAGAUGAGAAGCUCAAUUUGACCUGGCAACAUGCAAUCAUUUGUCUCUCCUCUUAUGCAGAACUUACUUGAACUGCCUUUUGUCAUGAUACUCUUAAGACCCAGAAGUUGCAGGGGAGGUACAAUCAACUACCAAGUGUGGAUAAAGAUCAGUUGAGAGAAUCUGCACAAGUUCCUAUGAGCAAAAUAAAUCUGGUAGAGUAUGAGUGGAAAUUAA